UUCGACUCGAGCGGAAGCGAGAGAACGUUGCCAACGGCAACGGCCCGAAGGGCGCGACGCGCCGAGUCAUCCUUCCCCCACCACAA
rnacentral:sRNA from 1 species